rnacentral:rRNA from 1 species
GAUGAACGCUGGCGGCGUGCCUAAUACAUGCAAGUCGAGCGAACAGACGAGGAGCUUGCUCCUCUGACGUUAGCGGCGGACGGGUGAGUAACACGUGGAUAACCUACCUAUAAGACUGGGAUAACUUCGGGAAGCCGGAGCUAAUACCGGAUAAUAUAUUGAACCGCAUGGUUCAAUAGUGAAAGACGGUUUUGCUGUCACUUAUAGAUGGAUCCGCGCCGCAUUAGCUAGUUGGUAAGGUAACGGCUUACCAAGGCAACGAUGCGUAGCCGACCUGAGAGGGUGAUCGGCCACACUGGAACUGAGACACGGUCCAGACUCCUACGGGAGGCAGCAGUAGGGAAUCUUCCGCAAUGGGCGAAAGCUUGACGGAGCAACGCCGCGUGAGUGAUGAAGGUCUUCGGAUCGUAAAACUCUGUUAUUAGGGAAGAACAAAUGUGGAAGUAACUAUGCACGUCUUGACGGUACCUAAACAGAAAGCCACGGCUAACUACGUG